GAUGAACGCUGGCGGCGUGCCUAAUACAUGCAAGUCGAGCGAACAGACGAGGAGCUUGCUCCUCUGACGUUAGCGGCGGACGGGUGAGUAACACGUGGAUAACCUACCUAUAAGACUGGGAUAACUUCGGGAAACCGGAGCUAAUACCGGAUAAUAUAUUGAACCGCAUGGUUCAAUAGUGAAAGACGGUUUUGCUGUCACUUAUAGAUGGAUCCGCGCCGCAUUAGCUAGUUGGUAAGGUAACGGCUUACCAAGGCAACGAUGCGUAGCCGACCUGAGAGGGUGAUCGGCCACACUGGAACUGAGACACGGUCCAGACUCCUACGGGAGGCAGCAGUAGGGAAUCUUCCGCAAAGGGCGAAAGCCUGACGGAGCAACGCCGCGUGAGUGAUGAAGGUCUUCGGAUCGUAAAACUCUGUUAUUAGGGAAGAACAAAUGUGUAAGUAACUAUGCACGUCUUGACGGUACCUAAUCAGAAAGCCAUGGCUAACUACGUG
rnacentral:rRNA from 1 species